AGCCAGACUCCUACGGGAGGCAGCAGUGGGGGAUAUUGCACAAUGGGGGAAACCCUGAUGCAGCGACGCCGCGUGGGCGAAGAAGUAUUUCGGUAUGUAAAGCCCUAUCAGCAGGGAAGAAGAAAUGACGGUACCUGAGUAAGAAGCACCGGCUAACUACGUGCCAGCAGCCGCGGUAAUACGUAGGGGGCAAGCGUUAUCCGGAUUUACUGGGUGUAAAGGGAGCGUAGACGGCGAUGCAAGCCAGAUGUGAAAGCCCGGGGCUCAACCCCGGGACUGCAUUUGGAACUGUGUGGCUGGAGUGUCGGAGAGGCAGGCGGAAUUCCUAGUGUAGCGGCGAAAUGCGUAGAUAUCAGGAGGAACACCGGCGGCGAAGGCGGCCUGCUGGACCGAAACUGACGUUGAGGCUCGAAAGCGUGGGGAGCAAACAGGAUUAGAUACCCUGGUAUA
rnacentral:rRNA from 1 species